GGGAGGAUUGAGAGAGGCGGGGCGAGGCCGGAGGCGGGACUGCGGAGAGCGCCUGCAUGGUCUGCGCGGGACCUGGCUCCCAGAGGCUGGCACGUGUAUUGGCUGGAGCCCAUGGAUGAGUUUAUCAUCAAGGAGAGUGAAACUUUGCUCUCGGUAGAUGGCCAUCACCAGACCCUGAAGAUGAACAGGAAGAAAAACAUAACUGCUUAAGAAACAUGUGAGAUGAGGCAGACAUGGAAGAGGCUGAAGUCCGUGUAAAGGCUCCGUCGUCAUUUAAGUUGCUCGUCACUUAUACAGCAGCUCGAUGGGCUGGGUUACCUGUGUCUGUGUCCUAAAUCAGGCUAAAAACUCGAGAAUCAGAAAGUUCUGAGGUUUCUUUGAACUCUAAAAAUUUCUUCUUAAGUAGCCGCAGGAAAGUCACCUCAGCGUGUCCGGCAUUUCACUUCCCAGGCCACAAAGGGUUUGAGGAAGUUAGGAAGGAAAAGACACUUUAUUCAAGCCCCCUGGGGUAGACAGUUGAUGUAUUUUUGGCUGCCCGACUCCCUAGAACACUCUUCCUAUUUUGGGAAAUUCUCCAUCUUUUGAGUCCUGUCCUUCCUACCACAGAAGCCAGAAACUCUUUCCUGCCUCCCGUCAGCCAGGCCCCCGCGUGGGAUAGAGGACCCCCGUCAGACACUUGUGUGACACCUCCGUUCAGAGGCUGGUGCCACACAGGUUCACUCUGGGACAGCGACUGCACAGAUUCCGGAGGCAGUGGGCCGAGGGUCAGCUGUAGGCUGCAGCUGGCUUUCUGGGGCGGCUGUGGCUGUGGCAUUGCCUCCAUCUGGUGACUCCACAGGAUCAUCCUGUGGCAGGGUUUGCAGUUGCUCAGGCUGUGUAUCUGGUCCUGGAGAGUCCGUGUGCUACCAAAACCAUUCGCCACAUUUCCUUAAUGCUUAAACCAGCCAGUUUGCAACUGACAACUAACUGACACCGUCUUUACAUGCAAAGCCACGAAGGAGGGAAUUUAAAAAUGAAUGGGAUCUCGUCCUCAAGGAGUCUAUGUAACACCGUGGAGAGAAGGAAAGUAAAUGACCACAAUAGCCAGCGGCCUCCGAGGGGCAGAAGAGUGCUGUAGGAAGAGCAGACCCUCCGAGCCGUCCUGCCGGGGCUUCCAAUCCUGGCCCCACUGCUGUUAACUUCGUUUCCUUGGACUAGUUGCUUAACCUCUCUGUGCCUCAGUUUUUAAUCUGUAAAAUGGGGAUAAUAAUAUGAUUACCUUAUAGGGUUUUAUGGUGGAGAGUCCUCAUUGCCUCCCCACCUGCGUUCUCUCCUUUCUGGGCACACGGCUGAGCAGUUCGAAAUUGUAUUUCACCCUCCGUUAGAAGGAACUCUGUGCAACCAUGUGACUAAGGUUAACAGCAGAGUGAGAGCACAAGCCAUGUGUACAGCCCUGGCUCUACUUGGUUAGGAGGAACUUCCUUAUCCUGGAUGAACUCUUUCUUCCCUUUCCUCCCGGCUGUUUGGAGGUGGUGUUCACAGGUGGUGAACCAUGAUGGGGAAGCUCAGCAUUGGGGAUGGCAGAGCAUCCUGCUCGCCUGGGGCAUGUUGACUGUAGAAUGGAGUCCCGUCUACCGUCGCGGCCUUGUCAUGAAAGAAACCACUGUCUGUGUUCCCCGUGGCCCAGAUUAAGCAGUUGACCCAUGGCUACACUCCAAGUGCCAGAAGUGGGAUGUAAACCCAGGUCUGUCGGCCAGAGAACACUAGGUUGAGUUUCAAAAUACAAAUGUCCUUGUUAUUUAAACAAUCUCACAUUCGUAUGAAAAUAACGAGGCCCUAAUCAGUAUUAUCACCCUGAGAAUUUACAUCUGUUAGGUUCCCUUGAAGGUCAGGAGGGUCCUUCCACCCCGGGCUGCCGCAUCCCUCACCAACACUGAAAGGGGCCGUCAGGGAACAGAAGGUGUGUGGCUCAGACUCUAGGGUGGUGACCAUGGAGAAGGAGUCCGUGUCUCACUGACAAGACUGUCCAGGGGUUCCCACCGGGAAGGGAGAAAGUGACAGCAAGAGGACUGAGGGGCCUGGCUGUCUGUCCCUCCAGGGAGAUAAGGAACAAAUGACGCACAGGGAAGACCAGCGGCGACAGAGGAUGAGAAGCAGCAGUCACAGCAGGGAACUGCAGACCCAGAACAAAGACCCUCCACCUUUGCCUCGAUGGUAGGUGACACUUAGGACGUAUUUAUUGUAUGAACGGAUAACAAGACCAGUUCUUCAAAUUACAAGCUCCAAUAUCCCAGGAAAAUUUGCCUCGGCACUGGAUUUGGUGAGUGUUACUCUGUCACAACUUCGGAAGACUCCCAGUUCUAAGGAGACGUGAGAGGGGCGUCAGGGUACCAUCUUUGCAUCUCCAUCCCCUCGCUGCCUGCCCCAGCAGCUGCUCAGCUCAUGUCAGCCUCCCCUUAUCUGACUCUAUAGAUAUUUGGGGAACUUGUGUAGUCUUUUCUGGCAGAAGUGGUUGAGGCUGAGGAGAUGACAUCAUAAUAGGGGCUGCACAAGGAGGAAGUCCAGUCAAGUGCCCCUGAGGGAGGGCGUGAUCAAGACUAGAGUGGGUGACAAGAAGGCUAGGGUGCUCCUUCAGGCAGCUCAACAACAGAACAAGCCCAGAGAAUCUCAAAGACUGGAGGCUUCCUCACUACUUGGCCCUUGGGUACCCCAGAGGAUGAGUGUCUCCUUUACCCUUCACUGGAAUUGUGGCGUCUUCUUGGCGUUUCUCCCACUGGAUCUGGGUUAAGUAGCGUCUAUAGUCCCUCUCUGAUGGCACGUAUUUCUUCAGCACAUUCAGAAUCCACUUAUGUUUCUACUGCUAUCGGGUGCUCCACACCCCGAGUUAGCAGAUGCGACUGCUGCUCUGAUGGUCGUUGUCUAAGAUCUCACCUCCAAGCUUUCUGGACAAUUAUUCUACGUCUUUCUCUCCUUUUCUCAUGGAGAAAGAAGAGGCAGGACAUGGGAAAGGCUUAAGAUUUCUGCUUGGAAAGCCCCAGGUUGAAUGACUGUAAUUUACACAGAGUUCCAUGUCUGGCGGUGGACGACGUGAAGUGGAGUGUCGGCUGAGGUGACACGAGCCCCCGCAGACGACACGUUGAAUACUGUUCUGAAGACUACACCAUGGGCUAUGGCACUAGCCAGACUUCCCCCUAGCGUGCAUCGGGACCACCUGCACGGCUUGUUGGAACACAGAUCGCCCCACUCCCAAAGUUUCAGAGAGUCCUUCCUGACUUCCUGGUGAGCCCACAGCGUGGGAAGAACCCCACAUCCACAUGGCACAUUGGAAGCACGUGGCCCAGCAGUCAGAAGAUUCACUGCUCCGCCAACUCGCUGGGUGUCCUCCGCAGGUCUCUGCCUCAGAGUCCACACGUGUAAAAUCCCAGAGUGGAAUCAGGUAAUCCCUAUCACUCCAUCCAUGUUCAAUACUCCUUAAACAUUCACUUAAUGGGCCUAUCUCCUGCCCAGGGCCAUAACUUUUGUUGUACACUUCAGUGCUGUAUAGACACAAAGGAAUACCACUAGUAACGGUCUAGGAUGUUGCUGCCUUUAUACCAUAGAGAACACUCAAUAUUAUAUAGGAACGUGGUUGGUUCUGUGACUCUCCACUCUCCAGUCAGAUACUUACUGCUGUCUGUGUGUUUGUCAAUUAGUUUGACUUCUGAGUAUUAAGAAGUAUCUUAUAGCCGUGUGAACCUGCUCAGGGAGCUUCUAAUGUGAACCCAAGGUGAAGUGCCAUUCACUUGUUGGGUGUUAAGGUCUCACAUUUAAAUUUUCCUUCUGUGUUCGCUGCGUUUCCAUCUGGCUCAAUCUUCAUUAAACAGGCUGUAUUAAGUGUUUCUCUGCACCUGGCCCUGUGCUAGGAGCUGAAUUACAAAGACGUGGUUUUUGAUGUCGAGGAAUGUCUGACGGAAGCAUCACAGUGCCGAGGACAAAGGAGUGGUGCACAGCCAUCUGAAUCUCGGUGCUGCCUGGCUGAGGCCUCUCAGGAGGUCCGGAAAGGAGGACCCUGAGGGAUUCUGAGUCUGGGGGGCUGGGGCCCUGCAGUACUGUGCUCCUCAGAGAGAAGAUGUGUGGAGGAAAUGGGAUCCCAGGAGCUUUUCAAAUGAAGUGGCAAACCUUGGGGUUCUCCAGAGGGAGAACGUUUCAAGAUCUGGGAUCCAAAUCAGUAAAGAUUUUUUUUCCUGACAAAGGUGGAAACAGAGCCAGAUUGAACAUAAGUCAACUACGGAAUAAACAGGGAUGAUAAGAACGUAGGGAAGGCAGGUCUCAGCGGAUGGCGUGCAGACAGGUAAGGGAGUCAGCGCGGUGGACUGGGGCUAAGUACACUGAUGCACUGAAAUACUUCCGUGAGAAAAGGAAUUACUUCCAGCUGCCCUGGACCUCACUGGGGCCGCUUCUCUUGACAACUUCUCUUUAUGAAAUACGGAGGUCUGGCUCUUUGUUCACACGUGUUGUGGGCUUUACCUGGCUUUGCCAUCAAGGACUCCCCUGAGGGGUUUGGGGAAACACUUUGUAGGAAAGAUACUGCCAGGGCCGGCCCAGUGGCAUGGUGGUUAAGUUCAUGCUCUCUGCUUCAGAGGCCCGGGGAUCGUGGGAUCGGGUCCCAGGCGUGGACAUAUACAACACUCAUCAAGCCAUUCUGAGGAAGAUUGGCUACAGAUGUUAGCUCAGGGCCAGUCUUCCUCACACACACAAAAAAAGAGAGAUACUGCCUCUCCCCACAUGCGUGUGGGGUAGAGAGAGUGACAGUUACAGUUUUGAGAAUGCUAAUAUCACCAAGAAUCAGUGCUCAGCUAGCUUGUGUUUUCAGAACGAGGAUAUUUGAUAGGCUAACUGAUGCCCAGCGCCCCAUGCUAUGCAGAUGCGUAUUCAGGAACUUGAAGCUCUGACGCAAAGCGUGAGAUGAAGACUCGGGUGUGCUGGUUGAAUCGCAGGGGUCCCAGGGAGCAGGAGUGAGGCGUCCGAGGGAGGGAGACAGAACAGGAGAAAGAAAGGCGAUUUUGGCUUUCUGAGCACCCUGCACCUGUGGCUAAUAUGAGGGUGACAUUGUACUGCUGUGGACAUCAGGGACUCGUGCCAGCACAGACCCUCAGAGGAGCAGUGGAGAGUGUGGCUCACGAUGGUCUCACUGAUGGACGGGGAGGCUGGGGUUCGUUCGCCACCUUCCAUUCCUCAUUCACUGAAGCUCGUCCCCUAAGGCAUCAACCUCCCUCACUUUCAGAUCACAUCCAUGCGGGUGGAGCAGACUUUGGAAAAAGUCCUGAGGCAAAAAGUAGAGAGAUGUCCUGGCACAUGCUGGAGGUGAGACAUUGGCCAUUUCCAGGGACCGCCUGCUGAACAGCCCCAGGGUCCCCUCCCCAUGGCUGGGGGGCUGAGGGCUGUGGUCCUAGGCCCAUGGAGGACACCACCACUGACUUCUCAGUGCUGCCCGUGCCCUCACUAGUGUGUGCCUUCUUGUCUCAGUGAAGGAACUGUCUCUGGCCCUUCCUGGGGACCACCGUCUUGGUUAGGCUCUCUGGUGUCUCAUAACAAGCCAGUUCUCGUACAUCCUCUGGGAGCCUUGCCCAGGGAUCGAACAGGAGACUGAUCCAGUCCUGGAUCCAGCGGCCAGUUUGCAGGAAACACAGGGGACAGAGGAACAUGCUGGAUUACAUACGCCGCGAGUGUGCAGUCAGCAAAAUCCGGACGGUGGGAGACUGCCAGUCAGAGGACCCAGAUGAAAGAAAGGAGAAAGGGAUAAUUAGGUUAGCACUUAACAACAUCUGUUUUUCUUUUUUUUAAAUGGUCAAGACUAAAUUAUAAUGUCCAGGGACAUUUUAUCACAAUUGGGUGAUGAAACUAUUUGCAAAGCAGCAAGUACUGUAAAAACAACGGGGACGAGCCCCAUGGAACAGGCUUCUGAAGUGGAGGCAGCGUUUCAGUUUUUGGCCUGUGUUGUGAUUACAAAGGUGUUCGCUUUUAUAAAAAUUCAUCGUCAUACAUUUGUUUUGUGUCGUUUUCUAUAUCUUUAUUUUAAUUCCAAUAAAAAAUGUUUUAAAAGAGAGAAAGAUACUUUGGAGACACAACAACCAGAUAUAAUAUGUAGACCUUGUUUGGAUCCUGACUUGAACAAACCAAGUAUGAGAUAUUUAUGAGAUAAUCAGGAAAAUUAGAACAUUGACAAGAUCUUUGAUGAUAUUUAGGAAUUAUUGUUUAAUUUUAGAUGGGAUCAUGUUACUGUGUGUUUUAGAAAGACACACAGGGGUAUAAAUGAAACAAAUUGGCCAAUGUUGAUAAUUGGUGAGCCUGGUUGCAGGGUACAUGGGGGUUCGUUAUAUUAUUCCCUCUACUUUUGUGCAUAUUUGAAAAUUUCCAUAAUAAAAAAUUUCUUUUAUUGACCUUGUUUGGAUGAGUAGGUCAUAAGCAAAAGAAAGACGGCCCCGUAAAUUCUGUGUAUAGUUUGCACAAGCAGCUUCCUCCCUGUUCAGUUAACUGCUCUGAAAAUUCUCCCUCAAUGGGACAAGUGUUUGAGCAAAUAAAAACUUUAGGGCCAGGUGUCAUUUGUCAGAUAAAAUGUCCCUGAACACCCACUAUCCCAAUGCUUUUUUCAGGUCAGACAGGGAAAAUAAAACACGUUUGACCUCCUUGCUGAAGGGCUGGAGACCGUGGAGCACAGGCUAAAUUGCAGUGAGUGUCCAGUCCAGGGGGCGACGCCCAGAUCGGUGCACCCUAUAGGACAGAGCCUUCCAUUCCACACUCUGCAGAGCUUCAGGUCCAGACCCAGAAUCUGUCUCCGAAAUGCCUCCCACACUUGCAGAGCAGCUGCUCGAGCUCCAGCCAGCACCCAAAGGAGAACAGAAUCACACGGUGGUUUUCUAAGGCUUCGCUGCCUCUGUUUGUCAUGCUGGCAUCGGCACCACAUGCCAACGGGUGCAGCGAAAUGAGAAGAAAAUGUUUCUAUGACUUUGCUGCUGAUUUUAAAAAUAACGUAUCUAAUCAGCCAGCUGUGAUUACAUAAAAAAAUUCAAAUAAUCAUUUCCGCAGUUUAUUUCAUCCUAAACAGUUCUCAAAUAUGACUUUUCCCAAAACCGUAAUACAGUAUCAGACAGAUGGCCCGUUUGAUGGGUUCUAUUUUAAACAAGCCCCCUGGGAGAUUAUUGUUUUUAUGAAAACGUAGGAAAAAUAAUUUAUCCCAGGUCAAGUGGACAGAACUAAAAAUAAAUUAUGAUUUUGACAAUAGGAGGUACGUUUUAUAAGAAAGUGUUGUCAGUUCAUGGAGAUACAGUGAUUUGUCCCCCCUGGAACUUGAAAAUAAGGGAAAUAAAGAUUGACUUGAGUGUUAAACCAUGCAAUCAGUAUAUGGUGAUCAGAGCUGGCAACGCACAUCUGCUUAGAGAGCGAGAAGCUGUCAGGGCAGCAGACGGGGGUCUGGAAGAAGGAAUCUACGACUGCGCCUGAAGAACGCGUUCAUCCAAAGUCGGUCACAGAAGUACGGGAAAACAGGUGUCACUAGGAUAGGUGUUGGCUGUGCAUGCCUAACACGGCUCAGGGGACAGGGAGCCUUACCCAAUGCUCUGAGUUACCUGAGUCUCAUAGCAAGACCGCCCGUCCUCAGCCAGAUGGAAACUCAAGGCAGAGGUCGCAAACUGGAGUGCUGCACACCUGACCUAGCUCACAGAUGGAUCUGUCUGCCUCCUGUAGGCUUUCUUUUUAAUAUUCAAGCUAAAUGGAAAAGUUUUUUUAAAUGAAAAUAUUUUGCAUAAGAUUCUCCAUUUAUACUUUUCUUGAAAAAGCUCACAUUCCCACGUGACAACAAUCAGCUGGUACUAAGAGCUGUCCACAGCCCCCAGCAGGCACCGUCACUCAGCUCUCUCACCUGUCUGGCCCCUGAGUCGUCUCCGCUGGCCACCCCCAGGGAGUACCAUCCACUAACCGGCCAGUCUCACUACCUGUGUUCUGGGUCCGUGCUCCUGACAGAUCUUCUGGUUCCAGCCUGACUUUCCUUGUAGGUUCUACAGGGAGGAACUGGGCUGGGCAUGUGAUGUGAGGACUCCUGCCUAUGUGACAGUUUUGUUUCAUGGUACAGGAAGUAUGGCAUUUUGAUUCUGCUUAUCAGGCUCCGGUAAACCAGCCGUGAAGAGGUGUAUCCACAUCUCUCUGGUGUCCCAACAAAACCAAGUGUCAGUCUUCAAGCCUGAAAAUCAAGACCUGCUUUCUGCUGAACUCACAGUGGCGAGCUCCCUGGUAUGUGACUUGGGACUGAGCUCCCCAAUGUCACCAUAUGGAAUCUCCACAAAGAGGACAUUUUCCCUUUUUCAUUUUAUAUUUAUAAGGUACUCUGUGCUCUAAUUUUGUUUUAUGAAUCACAUUUUCUUACGUUAUACUUUUGCUUGUGGUCAUGUGUGUGUGAAAUAAAAUCCGAAAAUGGGAGAUAAGGUGAGUAGAAGAGCAUACGAAAUGAAAGUUUUGGUUCGGAAAUAAAAUGAGCUUUGCCUUUCUGGCACUUCUUUGCAGAGGGCUGGGUGUAUGUUUUUGGUUGCUUUAUCCUUUGUUAGUAUCAUAGUUCACGGCUCUUUCCUAAUCGCGGAAGAAUUAUUGUCUUGUCGAACUCUCAGAUCUCAUCUUGUCCACUUUGUUUGUGUCUUGGCCUCCGCGGUCAUCCGCAAGCUCCCUUUAUCUUCUAAUUUAGAAAAUGCCCAUCUACGCAUUAGACCUCAGUUGUGUCAUCUUCCAAAAAGCAAGAUGACUGGGAAAGAAAAUCCUGCAAGCUCUUCUUGCACGCUCACACAUCGCAGAGGCUUGCAUCCUAGGCGUUUGGAAACCACAGGGAGAACUUUAGAAUGACUCACACAGGACACACCUUGAGGGAACAUAAGCUCUGAGAAAUUCUUUCUAGCACGAGUGUUCAAUCAGCAUUCGUGGGACAACUCUCCACAUUUCAGCCAUGAACACAGACACCUCAUCCACUCCCUCGAGAGGCAGUUAUCUGGCAUCUUCCAUGCAUGGGCGACCACAGAUACACGCAAAGCCAGUCGAAUGCAGUGCUAAACUUGGUACCAGAGAUCGUAAUGAUGAUGACGACGACGAUGAAACAGACAAGGACGUUCUUGCCUUUGCAAGCCCAGAGGUGAUUUCGGUGGUUCUGUUUUUUGCUCUACAGGAUGGAACUGUCUGGCAGCUUACAAGAAUUCCCAGAAGGGGUCACACAGAUCUAUACUUAGUGUCUUCCUCCUGGAAAGCGAUGUCUUUGGACAUCAAAUUGGAGUUUAAUGCAGACUAAAAGCUGGCAACCGCAUAGGGAAUAUAUCUCAAUAAUGCUUCCAAAUAAUUUUAAAAACACACCAGAAUGUCAGAAACUCAUUUUCUAUCUCUGCCCCGCCCCCCAUAUCAUUCCUAUAUCAACAUCAUUUGUGGUUGAAGUAUCUUAAAAUAAAAAGUGAGUAUGUGGCGUAUUGAGAAAUAAUAAAUAAAUAGAUCUCUUAAAAUUAUGCUUUUGGAAUCACAUACGCAUUUGAUGACUAAUCAGCCAUACAUAAUAGGAUCGUAACUGGCAGCUUCUCAGACCUUCCACUUCUACAGAAUAGAAUACUUCCAAGGUUGACAUUUCAGUAAGUAAAAUACAUCUUCAAUGACAGAAAGAAGUUUUGGAGUCAAUUUUUAACUAGGGUUACAAACUUUAUUUUAGAUCUUGCUUUGUAAGAAAGAGAAAGAACAGAAAAAUGACCACAUUUUUGAAGGACUAAAUAUUGAUGCUUUAAUUAUCGAAUUUACAGUCCAGCUCCAGCACCUCAAAUAAGGCACCUGCCGUUGGCCUGGGAAGGGUUUUAUCCCAUAAAGAUGUUGUGUUUCUUGCCUUCAAUGUGUAUUUCGAAUUUAGAAAGAGAUCGGAACAUCAGAGGUAUGAUUUUAAUGGAAGCAUUAUUGUAAGCAGGACCUAUUUUUUUCCUAAAAUAGAUCUGCUUGACCAGACCCUUGUUCCUCCUCCUGUGAACUCUGUGAGCAACAAGCCAAGGAAUUUAAUAACAUGACAAAUAGUGUUCUGGAAGCUAUGUGGAGUAUGUGUUGUUAAAACUGUUAACUUUUAAAUGGCAACUGUCCUUUUUUAUCAUAGUGACAAAGCAAUGACUCUGCGAGUUCCAUGUGGGAACCCUGUAAUUAAUUUUGAAACCGCCCUAGCAAUCUACGGGUAGGCGUAGAGAUCUGACAGCCGGGAGGACAUUUGAUGGCCUCACAGAGGAGGCUUUGAUACCGUGUUUCAUAAUAGAAGCUGGACGCCAAGCUUCAGGCAUUACGUCAGUAACCACGGAACCGCCUGCCGGGAGAGAGCACCCACUUUCACCUGUCCCACUCGAAGCCGCUACCGCGCUGCUCUGCUCUCAAAGGAUGCGACACCCUUGCCUCGUAUUUGCCUUGCAAAGCAGGGACCACAGCAAGUCUAUUCCACCGCAGAACCUCCGGCUUCGGGAUUAGGCCCUUAGGUCUGUGGGACCUUGGCCAGUUUCCACAACCUGAGUCUAAAAUUUUUAUCUAUAAAAUUGAUAAAUGUAAUCUAUAAAAAAUACCCAUCCCAUAACAACAUAAGGCGCCAUAAGGGUCACUGAGAUGGCAGCGUGCCUGGUGGACGGUAAGUGCUCAAUAAUAGGAGGACUUGUGUUACCUGCACACACACACACACAAACAGACACACAGAGUUUGCGCUCCCUGAAGCGAAGGAACAGAGCUGCUCCUGCUUCUUGCCUCACUUGGCUCACAGACGUGGUCACCGCAGCUGAGAGACACAGCUGCUUCUGAUUUCUUCUCAGAGGAAGAAGUUAGAUGUUAGCACCACAAAGCGUGCGAGUCCCUCACUGACGUUGGUGAGACCCAGGAGGAGAGACAGCUUCCCUGAGCGGGCCGGCCGGGGCUGUGUGUACCCACGCGUGUGCAGCAGUGUGUCCCAGCCCCUGUGUAACCAAGAACACCGCUGUGCACGGCGAGACACAGGCGAAGACCACUUUUCUCCUUACAAAUGGGACUGGACUUUCCCCCCACGGUAGUUUCCAACCCGGGUCAUUGCUUAAAUACCGCCUCUCGAUGGGGCCUCCUUGGACCACCACGGCGAGGACAGAGCCACCUCCCCAGGCUGAUGCUCCUUCCUCAGCCUUUCCUUCUUCCCUGACCCCACGCACCUAAAGGAAAAGAUUGUUUCCAUGUUUGUCUUGUCUAUUGCUUAUUGUCCGUCUCUAUCAGCGAGAAUGAAAUCUUUUGGGGACAGGAAUUUUCAUCUGCUUUUUGCCUGGAACACUUGAUAAUUUGCUGAAUGAACAAAUAAAUAAAUAGAUUUAUUCAUAUUUGCUUGUGUAUGCACAGAGAAACCUUGGAAAGCUUCUUGAGAAAACAAUACCUUGUUUCCAGGGCAGAGA